rnacentral:rRNA from 1 species
AGAGUUUGAUCCUGGCUCAGGAUGAACGCUGGCGGCGUGCUUAACACAUGCAAGUCGAAUGUAGCAAUACAUGGCGGACGGGUGAGUAACGCGUGAGCAAUCUGCCCAUAUCUGGGGGAUAACAGUUGGAAACGACUGAUAAUACCGCAUAACAUGGUUUGAAGGCAUCUUCUUUCCAUCAAAGAUUUAUCGGAUAUGGAUGAGCUCGCGUCUGAUUAGCUUGUUGGUGAGGUAACGGCUCACCAAGGCGACGAUCAGUAGCCGACCUGAGAGGGUGAUCGGCCACAUUGGAACUGAGACACGGUCCAAACUCCUACGGGAGGCAGCAGUGGGGAAUAUUGGGCAAUGGAGGAAACUCUGACCCAGCAACGCCGCGUGAAUGAUGAAGGUCUUCGGAUUGUAAAGUUCUUUUCUAAGGGAAGAAGAAAGUGACGGUACCUUAGGAAUAAGCCUCGGCUAACUACGUG